UGUAAGCGUAUACCAAAGUUGUUGCAGUUAAAACGCUCGUAGUCGGAAUUUGGCGGUUCCGGAUGUGUGCACGUCGUGUGCGCACUUCGCGGGGAUUGCUUUUGUGGUCUUGCGUAGGAUGAGGCACUUUUAUUAGUGAACGUCCUCACGCAACCACUUUUUACUGUGAGAAAAUCAGAGUGCUCAAAGCAGGCAUUUGCCGUGAAUGUAUUAGCAUGGAGUAAUAGAAUAGGACUUGGUUCUAUUUUGUUGGUUUGUUGGGACUGAGUAAUGAUUAAGAGGGACAGUUGGGGGCAUUUGUAUUUCGGUGCUAGAGGUGAAAUUCUUAGAUUACCGAAAGACAAACUGCUGCGAAAGCGUCUGCCAAGGAUGUUUUCAUUGA
rnacentral:rRNA from 1 species